GCUGGCGGCGUGCCUAACACAUGCAAGUCGAACGAGAAAUCUCGCCUUCGGGUGGGAGAGUAAAGUGGCGAACGGGUGAGUAACGCGUGGGUAACCUGCCCCUGAAUUCGGGAUAACUCCGCGAAAGCGGCGCUAAUACCGGAUAUUGUCACGAGGACUGUGGUCCUUGGGAUGAAAGGUGACCUCUCCAUGGAAGUUGCCGUUCGGGGAGGGGCUCGCGUACCAUUAGCUUGUUGGUGGGGUAAUGGCCCACCAAGGCGACGAUGGUUAGCUGGUCUGAGAGGAUGAUCAGCCACACUGGCACUGAAACACGGGCCAGACUCCUAUGGGAGGCAGCAGUGAGGAAUUUUGCGCAAUGGGGGAAACCCUGACGCAGCAACGCCGCGUGAGUGAAGAAGGCCUUUGGGUCGUAAAGCUCUGUCAAGUGGGAAAAACGUCCUUUCGUUAAUAGCGAAGGGGCCUGAUGGUACCACUGAAGGAAGCACCGGCUAACUCCGUGCCAGCAGCCGCGGUAAUACGGAGGUGGCGAGCGUUACUCGGUUUGACUGGGUGUAAAGGGUUCGCAGGCGGCCAGAUAAGUGAAAGGUGAAAUCCUUCGGCUUAACCGAAGAACUGCCUUUCAAACUAUUUGGCUUGAGGAUGGGAGAAGAGAGCGGAACUGUCAGUGUAAGGGUGAAAUCUGUGGAUAUUGACAGGAACGCCUGUGGUGUAGACGGCUCUCUAGUCCAUACCUGACGCUCAUGAACGAAAGCUAGGGGAGCGAACAGGAUUAGAUACCCUGGUAGUCCUAGCCGUAAACGGUGAGCACUAGGUGUCUGCUCGUUAGAGUGGGUGCCGUAGUUAACGCGUUAAGUGCUCCACCUGGGGACUACGGCCGCAAGGCUAAAACUCAAAGGAAUUGACGGGGGCCCGCACAAGCGGUGGAACACGUGGUUUAAUUCGAUGCUACGCGAGGAACCUUACCAGGGCUUGACAUGCUAGAAGUAGUAUCCCGAAAGGGAGUCCGACCGGUAUCCAAUCCGGAACUAGUGCAGGUGCUGCAUGGUUGUCGUCAGCUCGUGCCGUGAGGUGUUCCCUUAAGUGGGAGAACGAGCGCAACCCUCGCCUUUUGUUGCCACUCUUGGUCUUUGAUCAGGAAGCACUCUAAAGGGACUGCCCGCGUUAAGUGGGAGGAAGGUGGGGACGACGUCAAAUCAGCAUGGCCCUUAUGUCCUGGGCUACACACGUGUUACAAUGCCUGGUACAGUGGGAGGCGAAGCCGUGAGGUGAAGCAAAUCCUAUAAAGCUAGGCUCAGUUCGGAUUGAAGGCUGCAACUCGCCUUCAUGAAGUUGGAAUCGCUAGUAAUGGCGUAUCAGCUACGACGCCGUGAAUACGUUCCCGGGCCUUGUACACACCGCCCGUCAAGCGCUGAAAGUGGGGAGCACCCGAAGCCCUAUUUUAUAUAGGUCCACGGUGAGUUUCGUGAUUGGCGCUAAGUCGUAACAAGGUA
rnacentral:rRNA from 1 species